rnacentral:rRNA from 1 species
GACGAGGGGUCCAAGCGUUGUUCGGAAUCAUUGGGCGUAAAGCGGGUGUAGGCGGCUCUAUAAGUCAGAAGUGAAAGCCCCGGGCUUAACCUGGGAAGUGCUUUUGAUACUGCAGAGCUUGAAUGUGGGAGAGGGUAGUGGAAUUCCAGGUGUAGUGGUGAAAUACGUAGAUAUCUGGAGGAACACCGGUGGCGAAGGCGGCUACCUGGCCCAACAUUGACGCUGAGACCCGAAAGCAUGGGGAUCAAACAGG